rnacentral:rRNA from 1 species
UCAGGACGAACGCUGGCGGCGUGCCUAAUACAUGCAAGUGGAACGCAUGAUUGAUACCGUAGCUUGCUACACCAUUAAUCAUGAGUCGCGAACGGGUGAGUAACGCGUAGGUAACCUGCCUACUAGCGGGGGAUAACUAUUGGAAACGAUAGCUAAUACCGCAUAAGAGUUUUUAACACAUGUUAGAAAUUUAAAAGGAGCAAAUGCUUCACUAGUAGAUGGACCUGCGUUGUAUUAGCUAGUUGGUAAGGUAACGGCUUACCAAGGCGACGAUACAUAGCCGACCUGAGAGGGUGAUCGGCCACACUGGGACUGAGACACGGCCCAGACUCCUACGGGAGGCAGCAGUAGGGAAUCUUCGGCAAUGGGGGGAACCCUGACCGAGCAACGCCGCGUGAAGUGAAGAAGGUUUUCGGAUCGUAAAGCUCUGUUGUAAGAGAAGAACGUUGAGUAGAGUGGAAAGUUACUCAAGUGACGGUAUCUUACCAGAAAGGGACGGCUAACUACGUGCCAGCCGCCGC